rnacentral:sRNA from 1 species
CUCUAGCGUGAGGGGCAGCAGCGGCAUCCUUUUGUGGUUCCUUAAAACCAUAAAAGAUAUAGUGGAUGACCCGACCCGCU